AUUGAACGCUGGCGGCAGGCCUAACACAUGCAAGUCGAGCGGAGCGGGGGACGGGCGAGUAAGGCCUAUGAAUCUGACUGGGAGUGGGGGAUAACGUACGGAAACGGGCGCUAAUACCGCAUACUAUCUAAUGAGCCUAGGUCGGAUUGGUUAGUUGGUGGGGUAGAGGCAUACCAAGGCGAAGAUCCUUAACUGGUCUGAGAGGGUGAUCAGUCACACUGGAACUGAGACACGGUCCAGACUCCUACGGGAGGCAGCAGUGGGGAAUAUUGGAACAUGGGCGCAAGCCUGAUCCAGCCUUGCCGCGUGUAUGAAGAAGGCCUUCGGAUUGUAAAGCACUUUCAGUUGGGAGGCGUUACCCACAGAAUAAGCACCGGCUAACUUCGUGCCAGCCGCCGCGGUAAUUC
rnacentral:rRNA from 1 species